UACAGAGGGUGCAAACGUUGUUCGGAAUUACUGGGCGUAAAGCGGGUGUAGGCGGUCUCAUAAGUCGGGUGUGAAAGCCCUGGGCUCAACCCAGGAAGUGCACUCGAUACUGCGAGGCUAGAGUAUCGGAGAGGUUGGUGGAAUUCUCGGUGUAGAGGUGAAAUUCGUAGAUAUCGAGAGGAACACCGGUGGCGAAGGCGGCCAACUGGACGAAUACUGACGCUGAGACUCGAAAGCGUGGGGAGCAAACAGG
rnacentral:rRNA from 1 species